rnacentral:lncRNA from 1 species
CCGAACGACAAAACUGAAAGUAAAACUCCAAGCAUUACAAACAAUAAUGCUGCUCACUUUUCAGAAGUUGAGGAAAACCCUGAAGAACCUGCAGUAAAAGAAAAAACUGAAAAACCAGUUCUUGAAGAGAAACCUGAAGAACCAACAGUUGAAGAGAAAUCUGAAGAACCAGUUGAGGAGAAACCUGAAGAACCAACAGCUGAAGAGAAACCUGAAGAACCAGCAACUAAAGAAAAACAAGUGCUAGUAGGGGAGGAAACAGCUGAAGAACUAGCGCUUGAAGAGAAACCUGAAGAACUAACGAUUGAACAGACAGAUGAAGAACUAGUUGUUGAAGAUAAAACUGAAAAACCACCAAAUAAAGAGGAGAGACCUGAAACGGUAACUCUCCUUUAGCAGUGUCACAGAGUUUAUCCAUCCUAUUAGUUCUAUAUGUGCAACGAAUUCAUAUCUGUUUAUCUAUUGAAAUACUAAGUGAAAAUUCAAAUUUUCUUGCAGAAUUUGCCCAUUGCAGACUCAAAGGACCAGACUGACAAUGCAAUUCCAUGCGAUACCAACAAUGAUAUUGCUGACUAUGCAACAGUUGAGGAAAAACCUGAAGAAACAGUAGUUGAAGAAAAACAUGAAGAACCUGCAAUUGAAAAGAAAUUUGAAGAAUCAACAGUUAUGGAGAAACCUGAAGAACCAGCAGUGGAAGAAAAACCUGAAGAACCAACAGUUAAAGAGGAACCUGAAAAAUCAGUGAUGGAAGAGAAACCUGAAGAACCAAUUGUUGAGGAGAAACUUGAAGAACCAACUGUUGAAGAGAAACCUGAAAAAUCACUGAUUGAAGAAACACCUGAAGAACCAAUAUGGGAAGAAACACCUAAAGAACUAGCAUUUGAAGAGAAACCAGAAGAACCAGCAGUUGAAGAGGAGAAACCUGAAAAGGUAACUCUUUUGGAAGAGGUGAGUAUCAAGCAUUAGCACAUAGUUUAUCCAUCAUGUUAUUUCUGUAUGUGCAUCGAUUCACAUCUGCUUAUCUAUUGAAAGUCUAAAUGAGACUUUAAAUUCUUCUUGCAGAAUAUACCAGCUGUAGAUUUCAACGACAAGACUGACCGUGAAAUUCCAUGCGAUACCAACAAUGAUAUUGCUGACUAUGCAACAGUUGAGGAAAAACCUGAAGAACCGGUAGUUGAAGAAAAACAUGAAGAACCUGCAAUUGAAAAGAAAUUUGAAGAAUCAACGGUUAUGGAGAAACCUGAAAAACCAGUGGUUAAGGUACAACCUGAAGAACCAGCAGUGGAAGAAAAAGUUGAAGAACCAACAGUUAAUGAGGAACCUGAAAAAUCAGCGAUGGAAGAGAACCCUGAAGAAUCAAUUGUUGAGGAGAAACUUGAAGAACCAACUGUUGAAGAGAAACCUGAAAAAUCACUGAUUGAAGAAACACCUGAAGAACCAAUAUGGAAAGAAACACCUAAAGAACUAGCAUUUGAAGAGCAACCAGAAGAACCAGCAGUUGAAGAGGAGAAACCUGAAAAGGUAUCUCUUUUGGAAGAGGUGAGUAUCAAGCAUUAUCACAUAGUUUAUCCAUCCUGUUAUUUCUGUAUGUGCGACGAUUCACAUCUGCUUAUCUAUUGAAAGACUAAAUGAGACUUUAAAUUCUUCUUGCAGAAUAUGCCAGCUGUAGAUUUCAACGACAAGACUGACUGUGAAAUUCCAUGCAAUACCAACAAUGAUGUUGCUGAAUAUGUAGCAAUUGAGGAAAACCUUGAAGAACCAGCAGUUGAAGAAAAACAUGAAGAACCAACAGUUGAGGAGAAACCUGAAGAACUAGCAGUUGAAGAGAAACCCGAAAAACCAACAAUUGAGGAGAAACAUGAAGAACCAAUAGUUGAGAAGAAACCUGAAGAACCAGUAGUUGAGGAGAAACCAGAAGAACCACUAAUUGAAGAGGAGAAAUCUGAAAGGGUAACUUUCCUAGAAAAGGUGAGGAUCAAGCAUUGUCAAAAGGUUUAUCCAUCUUAUUAGUUGUGUAUGUGCGACGAUUCACAUCUGCUUACUUAUUGAAAGACUAAGUGAAACUUCAAAAUUCUUGCAGAGUAUGCUAGUUGUAGACUCGAACGACAAGACUGACAGUGAAAUUCCAUGCAAUACCAACAAAGAUGCUGCCCACUUUCCCGAAGUUGAGGCAAACCCUGAAGAACCAGCAGUUGAAGGAAAACCUAAAGAACCCGUUGAUGAAGAGAAACCAGAUGUACCAGUGGUUGAGAAACCUGAAAAACAAAUGGUUGAGGAGAAACUUGAAGAACCAAUGAUUGAGGAGAAAUCUGACGAACUAGUCGAGGAGAAAUCUCAACAACCAGCGGCUGAAAAGAAACCUGAAGAACCAGCAGCUAAAGAAUCACUUAAAGAGCUAGCAGGGGAGGAAACAACUGAAGAACUAGCACUUGAAGAGAAACUUAGAGAACCAACAGUUGAAGAACUAGUUCUUGAAGAUAAACCUGAAAACCCAGAAAAUGAAGAGGAUAAACUUGAAACAGUAACUCUCCAGGAAAAGGUAAGAAACAAGCAGUGUCACAGAGUUUAUCCAUCCUAUUAGCUCUACAUAUGCAAUGAAUUCACAUCUGUUUAUCCACUGAAAGACUAAGUGAAACUUUAAAUUUUUCUUGCAGAAUUUACCAAUUGCAGACUCAAACGACAAGACUGACAAUGCAACUCCCUGCAAUAACAACAAUGAUAUUGCUGACUCUGCAGCAGUUAAGGAAAAAACUGAAGAACCAGUAGUUGAGGAAAAACAUGAAGAACCGGCAACUGAAGAGAAAUCUGAAGAAUCAGAAUUUAUGAAAAAAACUGAAGAACCAGCGGUUGAGGUAAAACCUGAAGAACCAUCAGUGGAAGAGAAGCCUGAAGAACCAGCGGUUAGGAAAAAUCCUGAAGAACCAGCAGUUAAUGAGGAACCUGCAAAAUCAGCAACGGAAGAGAAACCUGAAGAACCAAUUGCUGAGGAGAAACUUGAAGAACCAACUCUUAAAGAGAAACCUGGAAAACCAGUAAUUGAAGAAACACCUGAAGAACCAACACUGGAAGUAACACCUAAAGAACAAGCAGAGAAACCUGAAGAACCAGUUGAAGAGGAAAAAACUGACAAGGUAACUCUUUUGGAAAAGGUGAGCAUCAAACACUGUCACAAAUUUUUGCCAUCAUAUUAGUUCUGUAUGUGCAACAAUUCACAUCUAAUUAUCCAUUGAAAGACUAAGUGAAACUUUAAUUCUUCUUGCAGAAUAUACCAGUUGUAGAUUUCAAUGAUACGACUGACAGUGAAAUUCCAUGCAAUACCAACGACGAUGUUGCUGAAGACGUAGCAGUUGAGGAAAACCUUGAAGAACCAUCAGUUGAGGAGAAACCUGAAGAAUUAGCGGUUGAAGAGAAACCUGAAAAACCAGCAAUUGAGGAGAAACGUGAAGAACCAAUAAUUGAGAAGAAACCUAAAGAACCAGCAGUUGAGGAGAAACCUGAAGAACAAACCGUUGAAGAGAGACUUGAAGAACCAACAAUUGAAGAUGAGAAACUUGAAGAACCAACAAAUGAAGAUGAGAAACUUGAAAGGGUAACUCUCCUAGGAAAGGUGAGGAUCUAGCACUGUCACAAAGUUUGUCCAUCCUAAUAGUUUUAUACGUGCAAGACUUUCAGAUCUGCUUAUUGAAAAACUAAAUGAAACUUUAAAUUCUUCUUACAGAAUAUGCAAGUUGUAGACUCCAUCGACAAGACUGACUGUGAAAUUCCAUGCAACACCAACAAUGAUGUUGCUUACCAUCCAGCAGUUGAGGAAAAUCUAGAAAAAACAGCAAUUGUGGAAACAACUGAUGAACCAGUGGUUGAAGAGAAACCUGAUGUACCAGCGAUUAAGGAGAAACCUGAAGUACCAAAUAUUGAGCAGAAACUUGAAGAGUUAGCAGGAGAGGAAACACAUGAAGAACUAGCAGUUGAAGAGAAACUAGAAGAACCAAUUACUGAAGAGACACCUGCAGAACUAGUUAUAGAAGAGAAACCUGAAAACCCAGCAGUUGAAGAGGAGAAACCUGAAACAGACGCUCUCCAAACGAAGGUCAGGAUUAAACAUUGUCACAAAAUUUAUCCAUCCUAUUAGCUUUAUAUGUGCAAGGAACUCACAUAUGCUAAUCUAUUGAAAGACUAAGUCAAACUUUAAAUUUUUCUUGC